UACGGAGGGAGCUAGCGUUGUCCGGAAUCAUUGGGCGUAAAGCGCGUGUAGGCGGCCCGGUAAGUCCGCUGUGAAAGUCGGGGGCUCAACCCUCGAAUGCCGGUGGAUACUGUCGGGCUAGAGUGCGGGAGAGGUGAGUGGAAUUCCCAGUGUAGCGGUGAAAUGCGUAGAUAUUGGGAGGAACACCAGUGGCGAAGGCGGCUCACUGGACCGGUUCUGACGCUGAGGCGCGAAAGCGUGGGGAGCAAACGGG
rnacentral:rRNA from 1 species